ACCUGGGCCAUCCUCCACUGCACUCCCUGGCCACAGCAGAGAGCUGGCCUGGAAGAGGGGCAACCGGGACAGAAUCCGGCGCCCCAACCGGGACUAGAACCCGGUGUGCCGGCGCCGCAAGGUGGAGGAUUAGCCUAUUGAGCCACGGCGCCGGCUCAAGAUGGGGAAGUUUUGAUGUUUACCUUUCACAAGGUGUUUUUUUGCCUGCUUAGGUGUGAAACCAAGGGAUGGGUGUGGCCCCAGAACAAGGAUUUCAGAACCCUUAGCUGAAUGACUUGGAGGGAGGGCAGGAUGAUCUGAGGCAGGUUGAGUAUGCCUGUAGUCCCACCCUUGCACUGGUGAGCUGGCAGGGAAGGACAAGGGGCCGGGAUCCCUGGAUAGAAGAAGGGAGAGAAAGGCAGGGUUCUGGAUAGAUGGUGGGGUUUGGGUUUCUCUCAAGCAUCAGCACUUUGAGGACAUGUUGCUUCUUUGUCUUGUGCUUCAGACAGAGCCAGUGAGACUCAAGCUGUGUUGAUAGGCCGCCCAAUUGCAUCAGAGCUGGGGAGCUGCUGGCUUCCUCCCUGCCUCUUCUGUGGCAGAGGCAGCUGCUGGCUUGGUGUGGCGUGUAUUACCUUAAUUACUACAGCUCCUCGGGGGAGUAUCCAGGCUCACUGAGGCAUGCAUACCUUGAUUGUAACUGUUGAAAUAGCUAGAAUACAGCUGGGGAUUAGGAGUGGGGGAUGUAGCUCCUGAAAUAGGAGGUGACCUACAAGCAGGCCCUGGCUGUUGGACUUAGGGGUGCAGGGUAGAUGUGGGUGUCAUCUGCUUUCCUUCACAGGAUGGUCAUGAGCAAUGAGUAUCUUUUCUUCUCCUAGAGCUUACCAAGCCUACUCUGAACAGGCGGUCAAGAUCAAAGGCUCAGCAGGAAGCUGCUUCUGCCAGUUGGGACAGAUUCUGCAAACAGCUGAUACUUCACAUCUUCAUGUGCCAUGGGGGAGGAAUUAUUGAUAGUAGACAUCAGGGCAGAACACCAGGGAUCAGCGCCAGGUUCACUGAGGGCAUAGGAUAGGCCCCACUGGUGUGGCAAACACUGAUGAUAAGUAACAGGGUGUUUGCUGUCCUCCCUCCAUCUCCCUUUAGGGUUACAGCACAAGCACUGAAAAAAAUGUCUGUUUGGAGCAAAUCUAUUAGCAGGUGGCUUUGUACAUUGAAUGUCUCAGAGAUUGAUGGCACCCAGGUGGGCUUCUGGACAUUUGGAAAUGCUGUCGGUCUGUCCCUGCCAAGCAGGGAGUGCCCUGUUCCAUUGCUUAUGGGCUGGGACCCUUGCUGCUCAUGGCUGAUGUGCUCCCACUCUGUCCACCAUUCGCUACCACACUUCUUUGGAGCAUCUUUCACUCCAGGACCUACAAGUGCUUCCCAGGGGUGGGGUCUGCCAUAGGGUUGCUCAGACCUGGAAGGGAAGCCAUGUUUCUCUCCAGCUGAGUGAGUUGAGCAGUCAGGGCUCUUCUGGCCUUUGGAUGUACCCCUCCCAACCCUGCUAGAAUACCUGGCAACAGACCUGAGCUCCCCUAUCUCGAACUUAGGUUGGUACAGGCCUCCCAAGCUAGUGUCUGCCUGAGCCUGAGAGAGGGAAGAAACCAGCUGGUUGUCACCCUGUAGUUUAGGCCUUUUUGGAUACCUUGAGGUGGCCCUGCCUGGAAACAGGAUCAGCCAGGAGAUUUUCUGAAGCCACUGGACCAGCUGCCCAACCCCUCACUGCUUUUUCUCCUUCUGUUCUUUUCCUAUUUCAGAUAUCCUUGAAAGAUAGCUGGGAUAAGAGUGAAGGAUUAGAUGCCUAGAGGCCUUGUAGCUCUGGCAACAAGUCCUACAGGGUAGUCCAGACCAGAGGCAGGUUGGCAGUUGGGCCCUGGGGGUGGGAAGCUGGUCAGACCCCUUGGUGGUUCAGGCAGUGGUUGAUGGUGAUAGUGCCACCAGAACCACCAUGGUCCCUGUGGAAGAGCUUGUUUUGUGUCCAAGGCCCUUUGCUUCCCUGCAGCGCCUCCCUGGGAAUUGCGCCCUCGGCCCUGUGGCCAACCAAGCCUGUGUUCCUUUCCUGUGAGUCUCUCCGCUCACCCCCAGGAGACCUGUAUGACCACAACACACCACAGCUGCUCCACAGCCUUGUGAGAUGCAGUGACUCACUCAGACUGGACAUUAUUGUUCCUAGGCAAUAGGGAUUACUUGUUGGUAGUGUCUUGCUUCCUUUUUCCAAAUACCUGUUCCCAUUUCUCUGUUAAAGAAGGUAAAAAUGCUGGACUUCACACUGUAGUUUUCAGAGCAAGUUAAGGUCUUUGAGGAAAGAGGUUUCAUCAACAGCAGAAGGGCCAGUUCUGAAACCUGAGUGUCAGUUCUGACAACACAGUCUCGGGUGUCCUCUGGCUGAGGGUGGGGCAAAGUGGAGACUAGUUAGUGUUCAAGCCCUUGCUUUCCUAGUGUUGGGCAGAGGGACGACCCUGUGUAGGGAGCCCAGCGAUGCAAAAAUACCAUGCCUGGGCCUCCUCUGUGGAAGGCUUGUGCACAUGCAAAUCUCAGAAUCCUAUGAGGUGUGCAGAGUCUCAGGCUUCUACAUUAUCAGGGUCGCUUGUCCUCCGACUUUCCUCGGAGGUUUAAAAGAAGCACAGUAGGAAGGAAGGAAAAUCAAAGCCAAUUCUCAGAGAGAAAGAGACCCCAAGUCCUGAGAGCUGAGGUUACACCAUUUUGUAGGACAGUGCCGCCCCUUUCUUAGCCUAGUUCAGGUGAAUGACAGUCUUGGGUGUCCAGUGGAGGAAGCCUGAUGUGUAUGUGGGUAGGUAGCCAGCCCUGCUAAAUGGGUCAGAUGCUAUCUGCACCAUACCCUGGGCAAUCCCAGCUAGACCCAUGCUGACUGCCCAGGGCCUCUCGUGGCCAUCAGGAAUGCACAGGUGUGACCCUGCUGGGGCGCCUCCCGUACAGGUGCUGACUAUAUGGUCCCUUUCCCUGCCCAUGACUUCAAGCUGACACCUGAGCUCUGUCCCAGUACAAGGCCUGGGUACCCCUAGGAGGCCAUACCCCACCUGUGACAGCCCCUGAUGUCAUCCUGCAGAGGUGGCUUUUUUAUCCUGCCUUACUAUGGCUUCCAUGCCUGCUACCAUGAAGAGAAGACUUGCACCCAGGGUACCAUCUGCCCCUUCUGCCUGCAGCCGUCAGAGACAUUGCCUUAGGAUUGUGCUGAUUCUGUUCCUUGGUUCCAGGAUUCGAAAAGCCAGGUUAAUAGCCAUAAAAGUGGCAUUUUCUGUUUGUUUAAUGAAAAUGUAUUUGGGGCCAGCAUUGUGGCAUCGUGGUAAAACUGCCACUUGCAAUGCCAGCAUCCCCUGUGGGUACUAGUUUGGGUCCCGGCUGCUCCACUUCCAAUUCAGCUCCCUGCUAAUGCACCUGGAAGGGAGCAGAAGAUGACCCAAGUUCUUGGGCCCCUACCACCUAUGUGGGAGUCCAAGUUGAAGCUCUUAGCUCCUUGCUCCUGGCUUUGGCCUGGCCCAGCCCUGGCUAUUGCAGCCAUUUGGGGAAUGACCAAUGGGUAGAAUAUUGAACUCUCUUUCUGUCUCUCCCUGUCUCUGUAACUCUGACUUUCAAAUAAAUAAAUCUUUAAAAAUAUUUAAAAAAAUCUCUUUGCUAGGCCGGCGCCGCCGCUCACUAGGCUAAUCCUCCGCCUUGUGGCGCCGGCACACCGGGUUCUAGUCCCGGUUGGGGCGCCGGAUUCUGUCCCGGUUGCCCCUCUUCCAGGCCAGCUCUCUGCUGUGGCCAGGGAGUGCAGUGGAGGAUGGCCCAGGUGCUUGGGCCCUGCACCCCAUGGGAGACCAGGAAAAGCACCUGGCUCCUGGCUCCUGCCACUGGAUCAGCGCGGUGCGCCAGCCGCAGCGCGCCGGCCGCGGCGGCCAUUGGAGGGUGAACCAACGGCAAAGGAAGACCUUUCUCUCUGUCUCUCUCUCUCACUGUCCACUCUGCCUGUCAAAAAAAAAAAAAAAAAUCUUUGCUUUCCUCUUUUCCUGUUAUCCUUUAUAGAUUUGUUCCAGGCAGUGGGUCUUGUUAGCCUUAAUUUUUUUUUCAAAAUUUAUUUUGUUUAUUUGAAAGUCAGAGUUUACAGAAAGAGAGAUCUUCCUUCUACUGAUUCACUUCCCAAAUGGCUGUAACAGCCAGGGCUGGGUAGGCUAAAGGAGCCUGGAACUCCAUUUGAGUCUCCCAUAUGUGUGGCAGUUGGGCCAUGUUUUGCUGCCUUCCAGCAGCAUUAGCAGAGAGCUGGAUUAGAAGUGGAGCACCUGGGUAUAAGCCAGUGCUUAUAUGGGAUGCCAGCAUUAUAGGUGUUAGCUUAACCCACUGUACCACAGUGCCAGCUCCACAUUUAUUUAUUUGAAAAGCAGAGUGACAGAGAGAGUUAGAGCAAGAAUGAGAGAGAGAGAUCUUGCACCUGCUGGUUCAUUCACUAAAUGGCCACAACAAUGUAGGCUGGGCCAGGCUGAAGCCAAGAGUCAAGAUUUCCAUCCAGGCCUUAUACAUGGGUGGCAGAGACUCAGGCACUUGCACCAUGAUCUGCUGCUUCCCUGGGUGUGCAUUAGCAGGAAGCUGGAUCAGAAGUGGAGUAACUGGGGCUGGUGGUGUGGUGCAGCAGGUUAAGCUGACAUCUGUAAUAUCGGAUUCCAUAUUGGAGUGCCAUUUCAAAUUCUGGCGGCUCCAUUUCUGAUCCAGUUCUCUGCUAAUGUACCUGGGAAAGAGGUAGAAGAUGGCUUAAGUGCUUGGUCUCCUAAGACUCAGAUGGAAUUCCUGGCUCCUGGCUUCAGCCAUGCUCAGCUCUGACCAUCCCAGCCGUUUAGAGAAUGAACCAAUGGAUGGAAGAAUUUUUUCUCUCCUUCUUUUUCUGUCACUGCCUUUCAAAUUAAUAAAAUAAACUCCCCAACGCCCACCCCCUCAAAAAAUGAGAGUAGCUGGGUCCUGAACCAACACUCCACUCCAGAAUGGAAUGUGCUGCACCACAACACCCACCCCUGUUUGUUGUUUUGUUUGUUUUCCAAUGAAUGACAUUUUUUAAAGGAUUUAUUUUAUUUACUUUAAAGAUGGAGUUACAGAGCAAGGGAGAAACAGAGAGAGAGAGGUCUUCCAUCCAUUGGUUCACUCCUACAUGGCCACAGUGGCCGUUGCUAGGCCAAUCUGAAGCCAGGAGCCUCUUCCAGGUCUCCCACGUGGGUGCAGGGGCUCAAGGGCUUCGGCCAUCUUCUACUGAUUUCCCAGGCCAUAGCAGAGAGCUGGAUCAGAUGUGGAGCAACUGGGACUCGAACUGGCACCCAUAUGGGAUGCCAGUACUGCAGGGUGGAGCUUUAACCCACUGUGCCACACUGCUGGUCCCCAAUGUUUGACAUUUUGGAGAGAGCAUUUGUCUGCUGGAUUUCUGAGGAGGGAUGGCUCUGUAUGAGUGACCCCCCUUGUGGAGCAGCACUGCCAUGAUGUCCCCCAUUGCACAGGGACUCUCUCCACAGCAACCCCAGAUUCAGGGAGCACCCUGGACGAGGUAGCGCACCCUUCUUCUGGAGCCAGCCUCAAGAAUCAAAGUCACUGGGCAUGGCUGUUGAACUGUGCCAGGUGCUGCCUCUCCAGGAAACAGGACAAGCCAGAGUAGAACAGGUCUGGGGCUGUCACUGGCAGGCCAUUCAAGCUGUUCAUUGGGAGUGGUGGGUAGUGACCAGCUCCCGUCUGCCUACCCCCUCAGGUUAGAAGUGCACAGGAAGUGUGAAGUGCGUGGGCUUGACCUCUGAGCUGGUGUUGGUGACAGUGCAGGAAGGGACUUUCAUUGGAGGCCCCACAAAGAUUUUCAUUAGUCCUCCUGUCAACCCUGAAAGAAGAAUUCUUCAAAGAGAACUUGGUAGGUGCCAAGAAUUGACAUGGUUGGGAUCAUACCUGUCUCCCCAACUCCAGAGUCCAGUGAUGACGGGGACCCAUUUGUUGGGAGAUGACUGGUUUAGUGGCCAGAACUCAGACUAGCUUUGUGAGUGAGGCAGGGUGUGUUGGUCAGGCUUGGGCUGGGACUAGCACCUAGUGGGCAGCCCCAACUCUACCCCCUUCCAGGUUUCUGGGUACACAUGCUGAAGGCAUGGUAUCUUUCCCCUCAGAGUAAGAGUCCUCUCCAUCCUUCACUGCCGUGGGUUUGGAGCCCUUGACAUGUCCUGACAGAUGGGAGUGACAUGGGCUGGAUUCCUAGAGCAGUCAUGCUGGAGUCCCUGGCACCCACCUCUAGAGCAUUACAACCCGGAUGGCAUCUGGGACUGCCAAGAUGAGGAGCUGUUUCCUCAGCCACCGUCUCACUUGUGUGACUGGGACUUCCCUUCUCAGUGAUGACGCAGGGGAAGUGAGUGAUACUGAAACAGGCACCUGGCGCCUGCUGCCUCCUGACCUGAAUGUGGAUGGGCUUCUCCUUGUGUCCCCAGCCUAUGAUAGGUGCCCAGCACAGCAGGGAAUGGGCUUUUCUGUGUGGGUGCCAGGCUGGCUGCCUGUCCGUUUUCUCUGGAGUGACGAGGCCCAUUCUCUUUGGAGAGGGAAGAAUGGUGAGUUGGGUGGUGCUCUAUCCGAGUAUUGUCCUCAUCCUGCAGCGUCAGCCGUCCUUCUGAGCCUGAGCUGGCUGGAAAUGACUCCUACAGGCCUCUCCCAGGCGGUGGUGCCUGCUUGUUCUCUUUUGACCUCACAACCCACUGGCCUCCCAGGCAGCCAUCUCUGGCCUUGCCAUACAGCAACAACUCUCACUUCCAGGCACAUCUCCAGCCUCACAUCAGGCCCACCCAGAGAGGCAUGACAGCCCAUGCUGUGAGGAAGAAGUGAGGAACGAGGUGUCAUGUAUUAAAGCUGAGGGUGGUGGGGCUGGAGGGGAGGGUCACCUAGAAGGGUCACCUACCUGCUGGACUCCGUUGUGGACCCCUUAGAGGACUUAGAACCAUAGAGUCAUCUGGAUUCAGCAGGUAUUUGUAUCCCCUGCCUGCUUCAUGGGUGAGGAAACUGAGACCCAGAGAAGUGAAAUGUCUUACUGAGGGCAGAGCCUUGUCUUCAGCCUGGUUGCAGGCCUCUUCCCAGGGCCCAGAAGUGACCUCACUGUCAGUCUCUGUAAGUGGGGGUGCAAUGCUAGGCAGAGCUGUUUUUCUUAAAAUAAUAAUGGUAACAAGACUCCCAGUCAGGCACAGAGUCGCCCACUAGCACGAUGUCAUGACGUGGGCUGACCCGUUGACAGCCUUGUACACCAGGCUUCCUGCAGCUCCUGACCACAUUUCCCCUUUCAGUAAACAUUUCCCCAGCACAUGCCAGCCACACGUUACGCAAGGAGGACACAAAGAUGCUUAAUGUCAUCCCUUUAGUCAGAGCACUUUGCUUCAAGGGAGAGAAACCUACCCCUAUCUAGCUUGGACCUUAACAGCAAGCGACAGAGGUGUGAGGUGCCAGGUCUUAGGGAACCUUAUUGCUGCCUAGGCCUCUCUCUCCCUCUCCCUCCCUCCCUCCCUCGCUCUCUCUCUCUCUCUCUCUGCCUCUCUCACCUUUUGUCUCUCUCUCUCUUUAAAGAUUUAUAUACUUAUUUAUUUGAAAGGCAGAGUUACAGAGAGGCAGAGGUAGAGAGAGAGAAAGAGGUCUUCAAUCCUAUAGUUCACUCCCCAAAUGGCUGCAAUGGCCAGAGCUGGGCUGAUCUGAACCCAGGAGCCAGGAGCUUCUUCUGGGUCUCCCAUGUGGGUUCAGGGGCCCAAGAACUUGGGCCAUCUUACUACUUUCCCAGGCCAUAGCAGAGAGCUGGUUUGGAAGUAGAGCAGUUGGGACUCGAACCGGUGCCCAUAUGGGAUACCGGCACUGCAGAAGGUGGCUUUACCCGCUACACCACAGCACUGGCCCCAUGCCUCUUCAUUUUAUAGAGAAGGGAACCAGGAUCUGUGGAGGUGAGUGACUACCUAGGACCUACCAUGUGGGAAGAGGGACAAUGCUGUGACUAGUCUGCGGAGGCCCUUAGUCAUACUGGCUAAGCUGGCACUCAUGGCUUCAGAUUAUCUCCUCUCUUUAAAAACAAA